rnacentral:rRNA from 1 species
UACGUAGGGGGCGAGCGUUGUCCGGAUUCAUUGGGCGUAAAGAGCUCGUAGGCGGCCUGUUGCGUCUGCUGUGAAAUCCCGGGGCUCAACCCCGGGCGUGCAGUGGAUACGGGCGGGCUAGAGGCAGGCAGGGGAGAACGGAAUUCCCGGUGUAGCGGUGAAAUGCGCAGAUAUCGGGAGGAACACCGGUGGCGAAGGCGGUUCUCUGGGCCUGUUCUGACGCUGAGGAGCGAAAGCAUGGGGAGCGAACAGG